rfam:Erythrobacter atlanticus strain s21-N3, complete genome.
GGCAUUCGCGCGGGAGAGCCCUCCGCCGCUGGCGGGGGCACCGAAGGAGCAACCGCCCCGGAAACUCUCAGGUAGAACGGACCGCGCGACUGGC